CGAGCACGCGCGUGUGGCAUAUCAAUAAGCGGAGGAAAAGAAACUAACAAGGAUUCCCUUAGUAACGGCGAGUGAAGCGGGAAGAGCUCAAAUUUGAAUCUUCAAGGUUCUACCUUGACGAAUUGUAGUUUAUAGAAGUGUUUUCUGUUAGUGGAGUGGCAAAAGUUCUUUGGAAUAGGACAUCAUAGAGGGUGAGAAUCCCGUAUUUGGUCAUUCCUCCUAGCGUUGUGAUACACUUUCAACGAGUCGGAUUGUUUGGGAAUGCAGUCCAAAAUGGGUGGUAAAUUUCAUCUAAAGCUAAAUAUUGGCGAGAGACCGAUAGCGAACAAGUAUCGUGAGGGAAAGAUGAAAAGAACUUUGAAAAGAGAGUUAAACAGUACGUGAAAUUGUCAAAAGGGAAGCGUUUGACACCAGUGUUGUUUUUCCGAAAAUCAAUUACGAAUGUUUUGUUUUUGAGGAGUUAUGACUUCAUCGGCUUGCUCCUUUCUUUACGAAACUUUCUUAAUGCACUUUUCGGUUAACAAGUCAACAUCAAUUUCUUUUGUUGUAAAAGGGUAUGAGGAAGGUGGCUUUCUUUUCGGAGAAAGUGUUUAUAGCCUUGUGCCUCUGCAAUCGGAGAGAUUGAGGUCUGCAGCGUAGAUCCUUCGGGGUUAGAUACGUUUGUGCUAAGUUAUAGCUUUUCAUAGACAACUUGUUGACUAUGUUUAGUCUUGUAGCUUACUCGCUGACGCUAUUUUACCUACGCUUAGGAUGUUGAGUAGCGACAUACGCAC
rnacentral:rRNA from 1 species